rnacentral:rRNA from 1 species
CCUACGGGAGGCAGCAGUGGGGAAUAUUGGACAAUGGGGGCAACCCUGAUCCAGCCAUGCCGCGUGUGUGAAGAAGGCCCUCGGGUUGUAAAGCACUUUCAGUGAGGAAGAACGCCUGGUGGUUAAUACCCAUCAGGAAACACAUCACUCACAGAAGAAGCACCGGCUAACUCCGUGCCAGCAGCCGCGGUAAUACGGAGGGUGCGAGCGUUAAUCGGAAUUACUGGGCGUAAAGCGCGCGUAGGUGGCUUGAUAAGCCGGUUGUGAAAGCCCCGGGCUCAACCUGGGAACGGCAUCCGGAACUGUCAAGCUAGAGUGAAGGAGAGGAAGGUAGAAUUCCCGGUGUAGCGGUGAAAUGCGUAGAGAUCGGGAGGAAUACCAGUGGCGAAGGCGGCCUUCUGGACUGACACUGACACUGAGGUGCGAAAGCGUGGGUAGCAAACAGGAUUAGAUACCCGGGUAGUC